CCAAUAGCGUAUAUUAAAGUUGUUGCAGUUAAAAAGCUCGUAGUUGAAUUUCGGGGUCAGUAGGUUGGUCAUGCCACUGGUAUGUACUGGUCUCACUGAUUCCUCCUUCCUGAUGAGCUGUAAUGCCAUUAAUUUGGUGUUGCAGGGAAUCUGGACUGUUACUUUGAAAAAAUUAGAGUGUUUAAAGCAGGCUAACGCCUGAAUACAUUAGCAUGGAAUAAUGAAAUAGGACGUUCGAUCCUAUUUUGUUGGUUUCUAGGAUUGACGUAAUGAUUAAUAUGGAGAGUAGGGGGCAUUAGUAUUCAAUUGUCGGAGGUGAAAUUCUUGGAUUUAUUGAAGACUAACUACUGCGAAAGCAUUUGCCAAAGAUGUUUUCAUUAAUCAAGAACGAAAGUUAGGGGAUCGAAGACGAUCAGAUACCGUCGUAGUCUUAACCAUAAACUAUGCCGACUAGGGAUCGGAUGAUGUUAAUUUUUUAAUGACUCAUUCGGCGCCUUACG
rnacentral:rRNA from 1 species